GACCAAGUGGACGAGAAGACGACUGCCCCCCCAAGAAGUUGUUCCAGAGGUAAGUUGCGACUUGUCCAGCAUCUUCCUUGGAGGUAAGGUAGUAGCUCCCAGCUCCUCCUCCAAUGGAGAGAAUCACCUUGAUGCCUUUUGCUUGACAUGAGUUUAUGUCUGAGCUUAAGCCAGUGCAGCCAUUACUGUAUGGAUCACAGUGACCAGCAAGGUUGAUCAUGGGAGUCUGGCCAUUUCCAAAUGUUGAAAGAAAAGCUAUGUUCACAAAGUCAUAGUUCCCUGUCCCACAAGUCUCUGCUAAAGUGCCUUCAUUUCCAUUCUGACCCCAGUAGAUAGCAAUUCCACCAGCAUCAGAACCUCUUACCAGGAUCAGCAUUAACAGAGAGAGCACUGACAAUGAGAUUAUCAACUGCAAUGCCAUUGUAUGCUAGAUUUUCAGUCUGCUAGGCCUUGAGUCACUAGAAAAGUUGUGCUGAACUAUGUUAGAAGAGCAUGGCUUUUAUAAGCGAAGGAUGUCCAUAUUCUCCGAUUCUAAUUUCUGUAGUUAUGUCCAUGAAAUCGUGCCUUAACAGCCACUUUGUCUCCUGUUAUUAUCUCUUAAAGCUUGAAUAAAUAUUGUUAGCUUCACGCAGACGGUGAGUUAGAAGGUAAGCAGAGUCACACAUGAAAUUAGCCUCGUCUCUUAGUCCUUGUCUUCUAGCUGCUCCUGAUUUGUCCAUUUUGCUAUUCCUGCAGUUAACUGGUAAGGAGUCUUAAAAUAUUCUAAGCUUGUUUCCCUUUCCUUGUCUUGUCUUCUCAUAGACCACACAGAGGAUUAGAGUUCAAUUUCUUUGCCAGUUAUGCUUAGUGUAUGAAUUCGUCACCAGGGGUUCAUAUGUGGUUAGCUUUUCACUAAUCACUACUAAAAUGUGUCUUCAUGAUAUCUUUGGCCACAGAUAAAAUGAGUGUAGUUGACAUAUUGAAUGUGGAAAAUUGGUUUUCACAUGUAAAUUAACAUGGAAAAUUUUCUUUUCUUUCCUCUUUGACAUGGGCAUUAGGCGAUUUAUUCUUCUGGGGCAUUCACAGCUUGAGCUGAAUUAAUCAUCAAACGCUGAAAUCCAUAUAAGGAGCCAUCUUUUACUAACAGAACCAUUGGGAUUUUCCUGUAAAGGGUCAGAAGACGGUCCAUGUUCUGCUCAUAUUAUCUGUGAUUAACAAGCUCCUUCCGGCUCUUAGAUGUUGUUAAGGCAUGAAUUUAAUUCAAAGUUUAAAAUGCAUCACAAUGCUGAAGAUGAGUUGAAGUGGUAUUUUCUAUGUUGAGCUUGCAAUGAGACAAUAAAAGCUUAGAGAUAUGUGGGAAAGAAAAAUGUUCCAACAGAGAGAAAAUAAAUGGAAAAGAACAAAUCUGCAUAUAUUUUAGAAAUAGUAGUAACACAAGUAGAGGAAUUAACAGGGAAGAUACAGAAAAAGAGAUAAAUGCUUGGUUCUAAACAUGGCUCUUGAUAGACGAACUGUAUCCAGUUUGAUCAUCAUAGUACUUGGACCACAGCAUAACACCUCCAUACUUGGCAGAACCCUUUAUGGCUGGAAGCACAGUAGAUGUGAGAUCAGCUACUGGAAUGAAGCCACUCCCUGCUGCCUCAGGAGCUGCAGGCAGGCCUAGGAAGAUCUUCGUGGCUGGGAUAUCUGAAGUCCACUGCUUCCAUGCAUCUUCAAGGCUGCCAACAUUCCCAGAAGUGUACUGGCAAGGUGGGUUGUUGUAGAAUUGAACCCAAACAUAAUCGAAAAGGCCAGUCUUAAGGGCACCUCCAACCCAAGCAUCAGGGAAUGGGCAUUGCGGAGCUGCAGUUAAGUACACCUUCUUGCCUUUCUUGCUGUAUCCAGAAAGGAACGUGGUGAGAUCGUCCCAAUGUUGGUUCGUUCCUCCUUCAAUGUCAAAGUCAAUUCCAUCCAAAACAGCUGGACCAAGUGGACGAGAAGACGACUGCCCCCCCAAGAAGUUGUUCCAGAGGUAAGUUGCGACUUGUCCAGCAUCUUCCUUGGAGGUAAGGUAGUAGCUCCCAGCUCCUCCUCCAAUGGAGAGAAUCACCUUGAUGCCUUUUGCUUGACAUGAGUUUAUGUCUGAGCUUAAGCUGGUGCAGCCAUUACUGUAUGGAUCACAGUGACCAGCAAGGUUGAUCAUGGGAGUCUGGCCAUUUCCAAAUGUUGAAAGAAAAGCUAUGUUCACAAAGUCAUAGUUCCCUGUCCCACAAGUCUCUGCUAAAGUGCCUUCAUUUCCAUUCUGACCCCAGUAGAUAGCAAUUCCACCAGCAUCAGAACCUCUUGCCAGGAUCAGCAUUACCAGAGAGAGCACUGACAAUGAGAUUAUCGAUUGCAAUGCCAUUGUAUGCUAGAUUUUCAGUCUGCUAGGCCUUGAGUCACUAGAAAAGUUGUGCUGAACUAUGUUAGAAGAGCAUGGCUUUUAUAAGCAAAGGAUGUCCAUAUACUCCGAUACUAAUUUCUGUAGUUAUGUCCAUGAAAUCGUGCCUUAACAGCCACUUUGUCUCCUGUUAUUAUCUCUUAAAGCUUGAAUAAAUAUUGUUAGCUUCACGCAGACGGCGAGUUAGAAGGUAAGCAGAGUAACACAUGAAAUUAGCCUCGUCUCUUAGUCCUUGUCUUCUAGCUGCUCCUGAUUUGUCCAUUUUGCUAUUCCUGCAGUUUACUGGUAAGGAGUCUUAAAAUAUUCCAAGCUUGUUUCCCUUUCCUUGUCUUGUCUUCUCAUAGACCAUACAGAGGAUUAGAGUUCAAUUUCUUUGCUAGUUAUGCUUAGUGUAUGAAUUCGUCACCAGGGGUUCGUAUGUGGUUAGCUUUUCACAAAUCGCUACUAAAAUGUCUCUUCAUGAUAUCUUUGGCCACAGAUAAAAUGAGUGUAGUUGACAUAUUGAAUGUGGAAAAUUGGUUUUUACAUGCAAAUUAACAUGGAAAAUUUUCUUUUCUUUCCUCUUUGACAUGGGCAUUAGGCGAUUUAUACUUCUGAGGCAUUCACAGCUUGAGCUGAAUUAAUCAUCAAACGCUGAAAUCCAUAUAAGAAGCCAUCUUUUACUAAUAGAACCAUUGGGAUUUUCCUGUAAAGGGCCAGAAGACGGUCCAUGUUCUGCUCAUAUUAUCUGUGAUUAACAACCUCCUUCCGGUUCUUAGAUGUUGUUAAGGCAUGAAUUUAAUUCAAAGUUUAAAAUGCAUCACAAUGCUGAAGAGGAGUUGAAGUGGUAUUUUCUAUGUUGAGCUUGCAAUGAGACAAUUAAAGCUUAGAGAUACGUGGGAAAGAAAAAUGUUCCAAUAGAGGGAAAAUAAAUGGAAAAGAACAAAUUUGCAUAUAUUUUAGAAAUAGUAGUAACACAAGUAGAGGAAUUAACAGGGAAGAUACAGAAAAAGAGAUAAAUGCUUGGUUCUAAACAUGGCUCUUGAUAGACGAACUGUAUCCAGUUUGAUCAUCAUAGUACUUGGACCACAGCAUAACACCUCCACACUUGGCAGAACCCUUUAUGGCUGGAAGCACAGUAGAUGUGAGAUCAGCUACUGGAAUGAAGCCACUCCCUGCUGCCUCAGGAGCUGCAGGCAGGCCUAGGAAGAUCUUCGUGGCUGAGAUAUCUGAAUUCCACUGCUUCCAUGCAUCUUCAAGGUUGCCAACAUUCCCAGAAGUGUACUGACAAGGCGGGUUGUUGUAGAAUUGAACCCAAACAUAAUCGAAAAGGCCUGUCUUCAGGGCACCUCCAACCCAAGCAUCAGGGAAUGGGCAUUGGGGAGCUGCAGUUAAGUACACCUUCUUGCCUUUCUUGCUGUAUCCAGAAAGGUACCUGGCGAGAUCGUCCCAGUGGUCGCUCGUUCCUCCUUCGAUAUCAAAGUCGAUUCCAUCCAAAACCGCUGGACCAACUGGACGAGAAGACGAAUGACCCCCCAAGAAGUUGUUCCAGAUGUAAGUCGCGACUUGCCUAGCGUCUUCCUUUUAGGCAAGGCUGUAGCUGACCACCCCUCCUCCAAGAGAAAGCAUCACCUUAAUACCUCUUGCUUGACAUGAUUUUAUCUCAGUGCUCAAAUCAGUACAGCCAUUACUGUAUGGAUCACAGUGACCUGCAAGGUUGAUCAUGGGAGUCCGACCAUUUCCAAAUGUUGAAAGAAAAGCUAAGU
rnacentral:lncRNA from 1 species